GCCACGGGAGCUCGACGCGAGCUGAGAGGGGACCAUCCCCGACCGUAGAACCUGAUCCGGAUCAUACCGGCGUAGGAAGGCU
rnacentral:ncRNA from 1 species